GCGCCGAUGGUGUAAUGGCGUAGAGCAUUCCCGCCCGGUCAGAGGGAGGUGCGGGUUCGAGUCCCGCCUGGCGCU
rfam:Heligmosomoides polygyrus genome assembly, scaffold: HPBE_scaffold0004015